CGCGUAGGCGGGUGCUCAAGUCCGGGGUGAAAUCCCACAGCUCAACUGUGGAACUGCCUCGGAUACUGGGCGUCUCGAGGGUGGCAGGGGUAUGCGGAACUAUCGGUGGAGCGGUGAAAUGCGUUGAUAUCGAUAGGAACUCCGGUGGCGAAGGCGGCAUACUGGUCCACUUCUGACGCUGAGGCGCGAAAGCCAGGGAGCAAACG
rnacentral:rRNA from 1 species